GACGAACGCUGGCGGCGUGCUUAACACAUGCAAGUCGAACGGUAAGGCCCUGCUUUUGUGUGGUGCUCGAGUUGCGAACGGGUGAGUAACACGUGAGUAACCUGCCCUUGACUUUGGGAUAACUUCAGGAAACUGGGGCUAAUACCGGAUAGGAGCUCCUGCUGCAUGGUGGUGGCUGGAAAGUUUCGGCGGCUGGGGAUGGACUCGCGGCUGAUCAGCUUGUUGGUGGGGUAGUGGCUUACCAAGGCUUUGACGGGUAGCCGGCCUGAGAGGGUGACAGGCCACAUUGGGACUGAGAUACGGCCCAGACUCCUACGGGAGGCAGGAGUGGGGAACAGUGCACAAUAGGCGGAAGCCUGAUGCAGCAACGCCGCGUGCGGGAUGACGGUCUUCGGGGUGGAAACCGCGUUCGCCUGUGACGAAGAGUGAGUGACGGUAACGGGUAAAGAAGCACCGGCUAACUACGUG
rnacentral:rRNA from 1 species